rnacentral:rRNA from 1 species
GGCUCAGGACGAACGCUGGCGGCGUGCCUAACACAUGCAAGUCGAGCGGGGACAUGCGACGGAUCAGAAGUUUCGGAUGGAAGAGAAGAUGUAUGUUCUAGCGGCGGACGGGUGAGUAACGCGUGAGCAACCUGUCCUUCACAGGGGGAUAACACAGCGAAAGUUGUACUAAUACCGCAUAAGACCACACUGAGACAUCUCAGAGGGGUCAAAGGAGUAAUCCGGUGAAGGGUGGGCUCGCGUCCGAUUAGAUAGUUGGUGAGGUAACGGCCCACCAAGUCGACGAUCGGUAGCCGACCUGAGAGGGUGAUCGGCCACAUUGGGACUGAGACACGGCCCAAACUCCUACGGGAGGCAGCAGUGGGGAAUAUUGGGCAAUGGGGGGAAACCCUGACCCAGCAACGCCGCGUGAGGGAAGAAGGUUUUCGGAUCGUAAACCUCUGUCCUUGGUGAAGAGGAAGAGACGGUAGCCAAGGAGGAAGCCCCGGCUAACUACGUGCCAGCCGCCGC